rnacentral:rRNA from 1 species
AGUGAACGCUGGCGGUAGGCCUAACACAUGCAAGUCGAACGGCAGCACAGUAAGAGCUUGCUCUUACGGGUGGCGAGUGGCGGACGGGUGAGGAAUACAUCGGAAUCUACUUUUUCGUGGGGGAUAACGUAGGGAAACUUACGCUAAUACCGCAUACGACCUACGGGUGAAAGCAGGGGAUCUUCGGACCUUGCGCGAUAGAAUGAGCCGAUGUCGGAUUAGCUAGUUGGCGGGGUAAAGGCCCACCAAGGCGACGAUCCGUAGCUGGUCUGAGAGGAUGAUCAGCCACACUGGAACUGAGACACGGUCCAGACUCCUACGGGAGGCAGCAGUGGGGAAUAUUGGACAAAGGGCGCAAGCCUGAUCCAGCCAUACCGCGUGGGUGAAGAAGGCCUUCGGGUUGUAAAGCCCUUUUGUUGGGAAAGAAAAGCAGCAGGUUAAUACCCCGCUGUUCUGACGGUGCCCAAAGAAUAAGCACCGGCUAACUUCGUG